rnacentral:lncRNA from 1 species
AGCUGGAUACAAGUUGCGUGGGCUACCUUUGGCUAUGCCAUAAGACAUGAGAGGGCAUAUCUAAGAAAGACGCUUGAGACAAAGGCCAACGAUUGAGGGUUGCCCUACUCGGGCAAAGCAAAGGCCAAGUGCACAUGCAUGAGGCAAUGUCAAGCUUGAGGAUAGGACUGUGCAUGCGAUGGCAAUGCCCAGGCCAAGGCAAGGGACGAGUAUGUUCGUAGCCA